rnacentral:rRNA from 1 species
CUACGUCUUCACACAAGCAAUAUGUAUCAGAAUGUAACACCGCGUCUAACGCAAUAAUACAACUUCCAACAAGGGAUCUCUUGGCUCUCGCAUCGAUGAAGAACGCAGCGAAAUGCGAUAAGUAAUGUGAAUUGCAGAAUUCAGUGAAUCAUCGAAUCUUUGAACGCACCUUGCGCUCCUUGGUAUUCCGAGGAGCAUGCCUGUUUGAGCGUCGUGAAUCUCUCAACCCACAAAUUGUUUGUUCAGUUUGUGCGGCUUGGACUGGGAGGCAUUGCUGGCGAUGGUCAGCUCCUCUUAAAUGUAUUAGCUGGGCUUAGCUCGGUGGAACGGUUAGUGUGAUAAUUAUCUGCGCUGCCUACUACAUCGGAUCCCGCUUCUAAUCGUCCGUAAGGACAAUUCACUUUGAAUCUGACCUCAAAUCAGGUAGGACUACCCGCUGAACUUAAGCAUAUCAAUAAGCGGAGGA